rnacentral:rRNA from 1 species
AUUGAACGCUGGCGGCAGGCCUAACACAUUCAAGUCGAACGAGUGGCGGACGGGUGAGUAAUGUCUGGGAAACUGCCAGAUGGAGGGGGAUAACUACUGGACACGGUAGCUAAUACCGCAUACCAUCAGAUGUGCCCAGAUGGGCUGAGCUGGUUGGUGGGGUAAUGGCGCACCCAGGCGACGAUCCCUAGCUGGUCUGCGAGGAUGACCAGCCACACUGGAAGUGAGACACGGUCCAGACUCCUACGGGAGGCAGAGGGGGGGAAUAUUGCACAAGGGGCGAAAGCCUGAUGCAGCCAUGCCGCGUGUAUGAAGAAGGCCUUCGGGUUGUAAAGUACUUUCAGCGAGGAGGCGUUACUCGCAGAAGAAGCACCGGCUAACUCCGUGCCAGCAGCCGCGGUAAUUC